rnacentral:rRNA from 1 species
ACUCCUACGGGAGGCAGCAGUGGGGAAUAUUGCACAAUGGGCGCAAGCCUGAUGCAGCCAUGCCGCGUGUGUGAAGAAGGCCUUCGGGUUGUAAAGCACUUUCAGUGGUGAGGAAGGUGGUGUUGUUAAUAGCAGCAUCAAUUGACGUUAGCCACAGAAGAAGCACCGGCUAACUCCGUGCCAGCAGCCGCGGUA